UCGCACAUGUACACCAGAAGAUAUGCACAAGAUGGGGCCUCACUGCACUCUGAAUGUUAAGAGUAGAAACAGCCUACCUGGAGUGGAUCAACUGAGGCUUAUUAUAAUGAAGGUCAAUGUAGAAGCUAAUGUGAAUCAACCAGAUCCACAUGUAUCAACCUAGGGUUCAGAAGCAUCGAAAGUGCCCAUGUAGCAACCGACGCAUUACUGAACCAGAAUUCAUCUUCAUGUGGGUAGAAGACUGUAAGAUUGAGGUCCCUGUUUUUUGCCAACUGUCAGCCAGGCACUGCUCUCAGCUCCUAGAGGCUACUACCCCCCAAUUCCUUGCCAUGUGACUCUCUCACAGGCCCUUUCAGAACA